AACUUUUAGCAAUGGAUCUCUUGGCUCUGGCAUCGAUGAAGAACGCAGCGAAAUGCGAUACGUAAUAUGAAUCGCAGAAAUCAGUGAAUUAUCGAAUCUUUGAACGCACAUUGCGCCCUAUGGCAUUCCGUAGGGCAUGUCUGUUCGAGCGUCAUCAGCACUAUCAAGUACUUGGAUUUGGGCGCUGUAGAUCCUACCCGCCUUAAAAACAGUGGCGGCUGUCUGUAUUCCCCAGCGUAGUAAAACCCCGCUCCGGGCCUGCAGGCACCCACCUCGUCCACUAAGUUUGACCUCGGAUCAGAUAGGGAUACCCGCUGAACUUAAGCAUAUCAAUAAGCGGAGGCU
rnacentral:misc_RNA from 1 species